GAUGAACGCUAGCUACAGGCUUAACACAUGCAUGUCGAGGGGAAACGACAUUUAGUGCUCGCACCGAAUGGGCGUCGACCGGCGCACGGGUGAGUAACGCGUAUCCAACCUACCCAUUACUGUGGGAUAACCUGCCGAAAGGCAGACUAAUACCGCAUAGUCUUCGAUGACGGCAUCAGAUUUGAAGUAAAGAUUUAUCGGUAAUGGAUGGGGAUGCGUCUGAUUAGCUUGUUGGCGGGGUAACGGCCCACCAAGGCAACGAUCAGUAGGGGUUCUGAGAGGAAGGUCCCCCACAUUGGAACUGAGACACGGUCCAAACUCCUACGGGAGGCAGCAGUGAGGAAUAUUGGUCAAUGGGCGCGAGCCUGAACCAGCCAAGUAGCGUGCAGGAUAACGGCCCUAUGGGUUGUAAACUGCUUUUGUAUGGGGAUAAAGUCAAUCACGUGUGAUUGUUUGCAGGUACCAUACGAAUAAGGACCGGCUAAUUCCGUGC
rnacentral:rRNA from 1 species